UAUUUGGGCGUUGCAAUUUGGGCCAAUUCAAGGCCCGUACCCAAUUGUGUAUUAUAUUUUCAGCAAAUUAGGAUCCUAAUCCUUACAAGCUGUUUCUCCAUUUGCAACAGAACAUAAGCUUUCCAUUAUCCACAGCUCGAGGACUAGACGGAAACUAGAGAGAGGAAAAAAUGAUCUACAGAAAGUGGAGUCUGCUUACUGGCCCGACCUCGAUCAUCGCCGGAGUAAUCGGCACUGUAAUGGUCGCAGAUCUCAUCUUCGUUGAUAACGGUUGGUUGCACAAGGGAGAUGAAAAGAAACAAGAACUAGCAACUAAACCAAGUAGAAGCAGAAAGGAUGCACUCCAGUUGCUGUAUUCCUUCAAAAAUGCGUUGUUGAAUAAACUGAUCUUGUUCGCUAUACAAUUCUGUUUGUGUUUAA